UGACUCAGCCCACACAAAGGAUACAUAGGU
rnacentral:piRNA from 1 species